AAAUAAAGUAGCAAAUGAUGAGAAGAAAAAUAAAAUGUACGAAGAAAAAGUAAACUAAAAAAAUAAAUCCAUAAUGUAAAGGAAAAAUACCUUGAAAGCGCCCCAUGCAACAAACAAGGAAAGAAAGAAAGUAUUUGGUGCAAAUAAAACUACGAAAUGUACCAAAAUAAUAAUAUACAAGAAGUCAAACUAAAGAAUAUAAUGUAAUUUAAAGGUUUAACUAAGAGAACAAAAACUAAAUGGUUCUCGAAUUUGGAGCAUCGACAUGAGAUGUAACAAGAAAAAUUGAUUUUUCAACCAUCAAGUUUUCUUUAAUCACCUCAUAUCUUUCUAACAUCAUAUUGGAUGUUAUACAACAAUUGCAAUUCACAUAGAAAUUCACGAAAAAGGUCAUAAAACAGAUCCCAUAAUGGUAAUGAGAGAAAUGAAUACAAAAGUAAAAAAUCACUCAUAUACUAAUAAAUAUAUGAACCAAAAAAGAAAAGAGAACCAAGAGAAUAGAAUGGGCAAAAAAACAAAAAAUCACCCAUACGGCAAAAAUAAAUAACUUCUACCAAGAUAACAAAGAUAUAAAAUUUGACAAUCUACUCUACAAAAGUAGAAAAAUAUGAGAAAGAAGAAAAUGUUGAAAGAAAAACUAAAAGAAAAAUAAAUCCAUCAAAGGAAGUAAAAUAAAAAUACCUGUAAAGCGUCCAGUGCUAACAUAGAAAAAUCAAUCAGAAUUAGAAAUUAAUGAUAGUCAAAUAAUUACUGGACAUUGUAACAAAGAAGUUAUCCAUCGUUAUAAAAAAAACAUAUAAUUUUGUGCAAAUAAAACAUAGAAAUGUACCAAUAAUAAUAUACAAAGAAGCCAAACUAAAAUAUAAUAUAAUUCUGGAACAUAUAACUGAAGAUAGAAUGAGUGUUUAUAGACUUAAUUUCAAGAAGAAAAAAAAUAGAAAAGCCAAACGGCAACCAUAGGGGGCUUUGAGGUCGGGUGAUGAUGAAAUAGAAAAAAGUGAUUUUCGGACAACACCUAAGAUUUUUCUAAAUUGAUAAAUGUUAUACAACGAUUGCAAUUUAUAUAGAAAUUUACGAGAAAAGUUAUAGAACAGAUCCAAUAAUUAUGAAGAGAUACAUGUAAGAUAGAGAAUAAUACACAAAAGUGAAAAUUCACUCUUAAAUAUUAUUUAAACAGGGAAUUUAUUAUGCAAAAUCUACAUUGGAGAGAAAAUGUGUUUUUUAUAAAUUGAAAAUGUGUUUCAGGAAGAGUUUUUUAAAGAGAAAAAAGAGAAGAAAAUUAAGACAAUAUUAUGUAAGGGGCCUUUUAAAGUUUGUUUGACCGCCUGUGCCACAAUGGCACCAAGGCUGUGUCUUCCAUGCAUCGAUUGUAUGCUGUCUUGCUCGUGGAAUAUACUGACAGUUCAAUGAAAUGCCUUUUUUCAUUCUAAAAGAAAAGUUGACGACGAAAGUUCAAGAAAAUAUUCUGAAACGAGUUUACAAACAAAAUUUGAAGUGAGAAAACUUUUAGAAAAUGUUAUUGAAUAGGCCUUUUAAACUAAAAUUUGCCCUGUGAGUGACCAACACCCUUGCUCUUUCAAUUUUUCGAAAGUUUUAUGAAAUGUAUUCUUUUUGAAAGAAAAAAAGGAAAACAAAAGUUCAAGAAAUAUUUUGGAAAGAGAUUGUGAACAGGAUUCGAAGUGAGAAAACUUUUAGAAAAUGCUUUUGGAUAGACCUUUAAACAAGAGAUUUUGCAAAUAUAUAUGUAUAUACACACACAUAUAUAUACAUAUGUUCUGGAAAGAGUUUCUAGAAGAAAAGAGGAAGAAAAAAAAAAGUUUGCAAUAAUGUUUUGUAAAUGACAUUAGAAAGUUUGCUUCCACAUGUGCAAAGAUGGCACCAAGACAAUAUCUUCCGCGCACCGUGUGCAUGUUGCAUUGUUGCUCAUUGUCCUGUGUGUUGUGGCCAACACCCUUGCUCAUGCGGUUUUUUGAAAGUUUUGUGAAAUGUUUUCUUUUUUAGAACAAAAAAAACAAAAACAAAAAGGAAGACAAAAGUUCAAGAAAUAUUUUGGAAAGAGUUCGAAAACAGAAUUUGAAUCGAGAAAACUUUUAGAAAAUUCUUUUGAAUAGACCUUUCAAAAAAGAAAUUUUGCAAAUAUCUAUGUAUAUAAACACACAUAUAUAUAUAUGUUCUGAAAAGAGUUUCUAGAAGAAAAGAGGAAGAAAAAAAAAGUUUGCAAUGAUGUUUUGUAAAUGACAUUUGAAAGUUUGCUUCCACAUGUGCAAAGAUGGCACCAAGACAACAUCUUCCGCGCACCGUGUGCAUGUUGCCUUGUUGCUCAUUGCCCUGUGUGUUGUGGCCAACACCCUUGCUCAUGCGGUUUUUUGAAAGUUUUGUGAAAUGUUUUCUUUUUUAGAACAAAAAACAAAAACAAAAAGGAAGACAAAAGUUCACGAAAUAUUUUGGAAAGAGUUCGAAAACAGAAUAUGAAUCGAGAAAACUUUUAGAAAAUUCUUUUGAAUAGACCUUUCAAACAAGAGAUUUUGCAAAUAUCUAUGUAUAUAAACACACAUAUAUACAUAUGUUCUGAAAAGAGUUUCUAGAAGAAAAGAGGAAGAAAAAAAGUUUGCUAAAUGUUUUGUAAAUGACAUUUGAAAGUUUGCUUCCACAUGUGCAAAGAUGGCACCAAGACAACAUCUUCCGCGCACCGUGUGCAUGUUGCCUUGUUGCUCAUUGCCCUGUGUGUUGUGGCCAACACCCUUGCUCAUGCGGUUCUCUGAAAGUUUUGUGAAAUGUUUUAUUUUUUAGAACAAAAAAACAAAAACAAAAAGGAAGACAAAAGUUCAAGAAAUAUUUUGGAAAGAGUUCGAAAACAGAAUUUGAAUCGAGAAAACUUUUAGAAAAUUCUUUUGAAUAGACCUUUCAAACAAGAAAUUUUGCAAAUAUCUAUGUAUAUAAACACACAUAUAUACAUAUGUUCUGAAAAGAGUUUCUAGAAGAAAAGAGGAAGAAAAAAAAAGUUUGCAAUGAUGUUUUGUAAAUGACAUUUGAAAGUUUGCUUCCACAUGUGCAAAGAUGGCACCAAGACAACAUCUUCCGCGCACCGUGUGCAUGUUGCCUUGUUGCUCAUUGCCCUGUGUGUUGUGGCCAACACCCUUGCUCAUGCGGUUUUCUGAAAGUUUUGUGAAAUGUUUUCUUUUUUUAGAACAAAAAAACAAAAACAAAAAGGAAGGCAAAAGUUCAAGAAAUAUUUUGGAAAGAGUUCGGAAACAGAAUUUGAAUCGAGAAAACUUUUAGAAAAUUCUUUCGAAUAGACCUUUCAAACAAGAAAUUUUGCAAAUAUCUAUGUAUAUAAACACACAUAUAUACAUAUGUUCUGAAAAGAGUUUCUAGAAGAAAAGAGGAAGAAAAAAAAAGUUUGCAAUGAUGUUUUGUAAAUGACAUUUGAAAGUUUGCUUCCACAUGUGCAAAGAUGGCACCAAGACAACAUCUUCCGCGCACCGUGUGCAUGUUGCCUUGUUGCUCAUUGCCCUGUGCCUGCCUGUGUGUUGUGGCCAACACCCUUGCUCAUGCGGUUUUUUGAAAGUUUUGUGAAAUGUUUUCUUUUUUAGAACAAAAAAACAAAAACAAAAAGGAAGACAAAAGUUCAAGAAAUAUUUUGGAAAGAGUUCGAAAACAGAAUUUGAAUCGAGAAAACUUUUAGAAAAUUCUUUUGAAUACACCUUUCAAACAAGAAAUUUUGCAAAUAUCUAUGUAUA
rnacentral:lncRNA from 1 species